ensembl:lncRNA
GUAAUGUUAACUAUCUGAUAUUAUUCAUUAGAACAAAACGUAUAAGAUCUCCUAAGCCUGUGUUAACUUCAGACCUGAUUUUUGGCGUUUAUCCUGAAACCCUAUUUCUUUCCCCAUUCAUUUUCCCCAUGUUAAUGUCUGAACAAACCAGACGUAACUCAUUUCCGUUUUUUAGGACUACAAACUGAGACAACCAGGAAGUAAGAAGAGUGGUGAAUUUGCCUGUGUGUAGAGCUCCUUGCAUACUGGUUGUGGAAGUGGGUGAGACAACGCACCACAAACACUGUCUGGCAACAUGUCUCAACCUAAAGGCAAGUACCAUGACGCUCUUCAUAAUAAACUAG